AGAUUCUGACUCACGGAGGUCUCAUCAUCAUCAGAAUCAUUCCCAAACACUGAUGGUUUCGCCUGCCCAGAAUCGCCACCUUGCUCCCUUCUCCGCUGAACGUAGUUGACGCUGACGUGACGCAGACACCGUCAGGUAAAUUCUCGCGCGACUUUGAGUAAAUUCUCGCGUUUAGCAAUUUUAUCUGUUUGAGUUGUUUUUAGAUUCCUGGUUAAUGUGUCUUAGGGCGUCUGCUUUGUUUUGAAGCCGACCAGCUGCAGUUCAUAGACGUUUCAGCCCAUAAUUGGCUGGUUCCGAGGCUGCCGUGGCAAACAAGCAUCGCAGAGGAGAAACAACUAGGCGCACCCAACGCACCAAAGGCAGGACUUUACUGGGGAAGGAGCUGCUGAGCUGCCUCGAACAAUGCAGGACAACAUAGCUGAUUUGAAUAUGGAGCAAGCAGUCUGUAGCAGGACUGUGAUGAAAGAAGAGGCAACCUGUACCCAAGGACAGAGUCUUCAGGAUAGAUUCUAUGAUUAUGAAUUUUGUAAUUCAUGCAGAAACUGGUACCCAGGAGCCCUCUUUCUCUCCAGACUAAAGAAAGGACAUUGUUUUUCUGACAUAAACAAAUCUCCAGGGGAAGAGGAAAAUAUCCUUCUAUGUUUAUAAUGCUUUGGAUUGUAAAUAAAUAGCAC
rnacentral:lncRNA from 1 species